UUCAAGGCCAGCCUGAGAAAUACAGCAAGACCCUGUCUUAGGUCCCAAUUUUCUCCUGCUGCUGUGGCCCGGACAUGGCGACUCCUGGCCCUGUGAUUCGUAGGUCCCCUUUGAACCAUCGAAGCCUCUAGUCAUUGAGGGGCUUAACCCCACUGUUUACAGGAAUCCAGAGAGUUUCAAGGAAAAGUUCCUUCACAAGACCCGCGAGAACCCGGUGGUACCCAUAGGUUGCUUGGCCACGGUGGCCGCCCUCACCUAUGGCCUCUACUCCUUCCACCGGGGCAACAGCCAGCGCUCUCAGCUCAUGAUGUGCACCCGGAUCGCUGCCCAGGGUUUCACAGUCACAGCCAUCUUGCUGCGUCUAGCUGUCACCGCUAUGAAGUCUCAACCCUGAGCCCAGGGUCUGGCCUUGAAGGCUCUGCAGAAACGAUUCCAAAUCCCAGGAGCAACCACUGGCCCUACCAUGGGACUUAAUCCCUCCUCUCCUUUGAGAGGCCCAUGUGUCGUUGGGGGAGGAAGUGACCCUUUGUGUAACCGUAACUGAAAGUUUUUUCAAAAAUCCUAGAUUCUGUUGUUUGAAUGUUACAUACUUCUAUUUGUGCCACAUCUGCCCUCCACUCCCCUGCUUAAUAAACUCUAAAAAUCCAAAAAAAAAAAAAAAAAAAAAAAAAAAAAA